rnacentral:rRNA from 1 species
UAAUACAUGCAAGUCGAGCGAGCGGAACCAACAGAUUUACUUCGGUAUGACGUUGGGAAAGCGAGCGGCGGAUGGGUGAGUAACACGUGGGGAACCUGCCCCUAAGUCUGGGAUACCAUUUGGAAACAGGUGCUAAUACCGGAUAAUAAAGCAGAUCGCAUGAUCAGCUUUUGAAAGGCGGCGUAAGCUGUCGCUAAGGGAUGGCCCCGCGGUGCAUUAGCUAGUUGGUAAGGUAACGGCUUACCAAGGCGACGAUGCAUGGCCGAGUUGAGAGACUGAUCGGCCACAUUGGGACUGAGACACGGCCCAAACUCCUACGGGAGGCAGCAGUAGGGAAUCUUCCACAAUGGACGCAAGUCUGAUGGAGCAACGCCGCGUGAGUGAAGAAGGUUUUCGGAUCGUAAAGCUCUGUUGUUGGUGAAGAAGGAUAGAGGUAGUAACUGGCCUUUAUUUGACGGUAAUCAACCAGAAAGUCACGGCUAACUACGUGCCAGCAGCCGCGGUAAUACGUAGGUGGCAAGCGUUGUCCGGAUUUAUUGGGCGUAAAGCGAGCGCAGGCGGAAAAAUAAGUCUAAUGUGAAAGCCCUCGGCUUAACCGAGGAACUGCAUCGGGAAACUGUUUUUCUUGAGUGCAGAAGAGGAGAG